ensembl:snoRNA
ACAGUCUGAAAAUUACUCCAGUUGUCUUAGUUUUCUGGAGUAAGAUAACUGUGCCAACAUAAAAUUGGUACAUUUAGCUUAUUGUCAGCUUAUAUAGCUGCACAAUGAAACCCAUGUGCCUACACCC